rnacentral:rRNA from 1 species
UGCGUAGGUGGUGAGGUAAGUCGGAUGUGAAAGCUCGGAGCUCAACUCCGAAAUGGCAUUGGAAACUACCUUGCUCGAGGGUUGGAGGGGGGACUGGAAUGCUUGGUGUAGCAGUGAAAUGCGUAGAUAUCAAGCGGAACACCAGUGGCGAAGGCGAGUCCCUGGACAACUCCUGACACUGAGGCACGAAAAGCUGGGGAGGCAAACA